rnacentral:rRNA from 1 species
UACGUAGGGUGCAAGCGUUAUCCGGAAUCACUGGGUUUAAAGGGUGCGUAGGCGGCUUAGUAAGUCAGUGGUGAAAGACUGUGGCUUAACCAUGGAAUUGCCAUUGAUACUGCUGAGCUUGAAUCAGGUUGAGGUUGGCGGAAUGCGACAUGUAGCGGUGAAAUGCUUAGAUAUGUCAUGGAACACCGAUUGCGAAGGCAGCUGACUGGACCUGUAUUGACGCUGAGGCACGAAAGCGUGGGGAGCGAACAGG